rnacentral:rRNA from 1 species
UACGUAGGUGGCAAGCGUUGUCCGGAUUUAUUGGGCGUAAAGGGAGCGCAGGCGGUGACUUAAGUCUGAUGUGAAAGCCCACGGCUCAACCGUGGAAGGUCAUUGGAAACUGGGUCACUUGAGUGCAGAAGAGGGAAGUGGAAUUCCAUGUGUAGCGGUGAAAUGCGUAGAGAUAUGGAGGAACACCAGUGGCGAAGGCGGCUUCCUGGUCUGUAACUGACACUGAGGCGCGAAAGCGUGGGGAGCAAACAGGAUUAGAUA